GCCAAUGUAUAAUACUACCAACCAGUAAGGAUCUACCUAUUUGCAGCCUAAAAUGGUUGUAAUCAAAGCUAAAUUCACUCCAGAGAAGGCCCUAUGCUUCAUGGUCAGCUAUGCAAAUUUAUUUCCUCAUUAAGAUAUCACAAUUCGAGAAAUUGGGCAGCAAACGAGGGUACUCCUCAGAAAAAGCCACCACUAUGUCGCCGCUGCCGUGGGUAUUGCUUUAGGAGCCUCAACGAACAGCUGAGGCUUCAACGCCGAGAAUGUCACCACCUUGGAGUUUCCGUUCUACGAGUCGCCAUUAUUAACAACCUCCUGCACCAUCAUCAACUGUUUGAAGAGAGAGAAUAACCCUAAGAAAGAGAACGUAGAUGAAGAAAUAGGAAAUUAAAACCCUCACUGGGGCAAUAAUGGAGGAGAAGUUAAAGAAGAGGCCACCACUAUGUCGCCGAUGCCGCCACCACUACGCCGCCACUAUUUCUAGGGUUAGAGGGAGUCGAGAGGGAGGAGAAUGAGAUGUGCUGCAUAUCAGAGUUAUCUGAGUGAAAGAGUUGAGCUAGUGAAAUGAGAGAGACACAGU
rnacentral:lncRNA from 1 species